UACGAAGGGGGCUAGCGUUGUUCGGAAUUACUGGGCGUAAAGCGCACGUAGGCGGACUAUUAAGUCAGGGGUGAAAUCCCGGGGCUCAACCCCGGAACUGCCUUUGAUACUGGUAGUCUCGAGUCCGGAAGAGGUGAGUGGAAUUCCGAGUGUAGAGGUGAAAUUCGUAGAUAUUCGGAGGAACACCAGUGGCGAAGGCGGCUCACUGGCCCGGUACUGACGCUGAGGUGCGAAAGCGUGGGGAGCAAACAGGG
rnacentral:rRNA from 1 species